rnacentral:rRNA from 1 species
GACGAACGCUGGCGGCGUGCCUAAUACAUGCAAGUCGAACGAGAGCGCCCGGUGCUUGCCCUGGUCAAUCUAGUGGCGAACGGGUGAGUAACACGUGGGUAACCUGCCCAUCAGAGGGGGAUAACAUCCGGAAACGGAUGCUAAAACCGCAUAGGUCUUCGAACCGCAUGGUUUGAAGAGGAAAAGAGGCGCAAGCUUCUGCUGAUGGAUGGACCCGCGGUGCAUUAGCUAGUUGGUGAGGUAACGGCUCACCAAGGCCGUGAUGCAUAGCCGACCUGAGAGGGUGAUCGGCCACAUUGGGACUGAGACACGGCCCAAACUCCUACGGGAGGCAGCAGUAGGGAAUCUUCCGCAAUGGACGCAAGUCUGACGGAGCAACGCCGCGUGAGUGAAGAAGGUUUUCGGAUCGUAAAACUCUGUUGUUAGAGAAGAACAAGUGCUAGAGUAACUGUUAGCGCCUUGACGGUACCUAACCAGAAAGCCACGGCUAACUACGUG